rnacentral:sRNA from 1 species
GCUGGGCAUGCUGGCCGCUUGUGUCUUUAGUCCCAGCCACUCAGGAGGCUGAGGCAGGAGGAUCCCUUGAGCCCAGGAAGAGUUCAAGACCAGCCUGGGCCACAUAGUGAGACCCACCUCCC